UAAAAAGUACGUGACCCUUUUUGGGGGUAAACAGAAAAGAACUGAAAAUCCGAAAAGGGAGAUUCACGUCUUCUCGUUUGUUUAAUAUAGUUAAUUGUAUGAUAACUAAUGGCCUGUACAUUUUGUAUUAGUGCUACUAGUUGCUUACUAGACUAUAUUAGCAACGGUGGACCGCACUUCUCUCUUAGUAGGACGUCGCGACCUGCUAACUUAUAAUUUAAGAUCAAAUCUAUUAAAAGUUUUAUUAUAAUAAGAAUUUAUUUUUAUUUAUAAUAAAAUGGUUUGUUUCUAAUUAAAUAGUUGGCAGUAUAAAACGACAGUGUCGAGCUGCUUACAUUAAGCGUUUAACAAAUGAUAAAUUUUUUUAUUAUAAUUCGAUAUGGAUUUUAAUCUAUAUAAAUUAUUUAAGAUCAUUAUCGUUUUGUUUUUUUUUUU
rnacentral:rRNA from 1 species